AAAAAAGUACUCGUUAUAUAAAGAAUCCCUUGGCAAUUAGUUCAGGUGCCGGCCGCAGCGUUGGUGUGGCGCUACUUGCCAUCGAUUGUUUACUUGUCUGUCCUGGAGUGCCCUUUGGAAACCAUUUUUAAAAGACAAAUUACACUGACGCUUCGAGAAAGACAUUAAGAGAUGGAGGAGGGUAUACUCUCACUGCGUUGGAAUAAUCAUCGAUCAACAUUUUUCCAUAUUUUAUCUACACUUCAUAGGAAGGAACUUUACAGUGAUGUAACAUUAGCAUGCAAUGGUAAAUUUUUCCCAGUACACAAGUUGGUGCUUUCAGUGUGUAGUGAAUAUUUUGAGGAAAUGUUUAAGCAGACCACAUGUAAACAUCCCAUAAUAGUACUUAAGGAUAUUCUUCAUGAUGACCUUGAAGCGCUUCUCAAUUACAUGUAUGCGGGUGAGGCAAAUGUAGCGCAAAAUGACCUCGCCAGAUUAAUUAAAGCUGCUGAGUGUUUAAGAAUCAAAGGUCUAGCCGUCCCGGAUGAAGCCCCCCCUUCCAGUGAGAGUAAAAGAUCCCAUACUGAGGGGCUGAGAGAGGAAGCGCCUCACCCCAAGCGGCGGAAACAUGAUGACAGCUCAUCAGCCUCCUCCAAGUCGAGCCAAGGGCGACAGUCAGAGGAUGAACCCAAAGAUAAAAAUUGCAAGGAAUUGCCUAGCUGCAUGGAACAACAGCAACAACAUAGUGGAAGAUAUAGUGGGCAAAGUACAGGAUUACAACAAAUAACGAGUCCUGAACUACAACUUGAAUUAGAAAUGGGGAGAUCAAGUCAAGACGACAACAGUGCUACUCAAGAUCUUGCUGAGGUUGUCCUGGAUGAACAGCCGCUGAUCAAAGAGGAGAUCCAGGAACCCAAACAUGAACAUGAUGACGACAUAACGCACCAAACGGACUCGGAGGCAAGCAUCAGUUUCGACCCCCUCAAUUCUGGGGAUGAAAGAGGAGGGGGUACAGGCAUAUAUGACCCACAGCUGAUGGUCUCACACCCACAGAGUGUCCUACAAGAUAUCAUGGUGCAAGGGGUCCCGGGCCCUUCUGGACUGCCCACGGACUCCAUCACCAGCUGGGAUUCAGGUGGAAAUGUAGGCUUUUCGCUAGAAGGAUUCACAGGCGAGGAUGCGAGGACGACCCAGGCCAUGGAGUCGGCCCUGAGGAAUCCCCCUACAGGAAACAGUGAGGAAGAGGGAAACACCUCAUCUUUGAGGCAAGAUGGAAUGUGGGUGUGUCAGCAUCCAUACUGCGGUUACACCACUCAGAAAGCCUCUGUUCUCCGUGGACACAUGAGAAUUCACACAGGGGAGAAGCCCUAUAGUUGUCCCUAUUGCCCUCAUAGAACAGCACAGAAGGGCAACCUCAAUGCUCACAUUAGAUACAAGCACAGGCUCUUUGCCAGAGAAACGCAGAGGUACAAGUACAGUCUGAUCCCAAACAGUGUGUCUAUCAGGAACUCCAGCAUUGAAGAUGAACAACAGGCAUAAAUGGCACUUGAGACUGAUUCCUGAAAAGAAAAGCUUUUAUUUUUAUUAUUGUCUUUUAUAAAAUAUUGUGUACCUUCAUUCAGUUCUGCAGUGGAUGGAAAAGGAAAAUGACAGAAACAGACAGUUCCCUUUCCUGUCAGUGUAUCUAAGACGGAAUUGUGUACUGAAAAAUGGGUAUUGUUUAUUCUUUAUAUGUAAGAGUGGAAUCUCACAAUUCAUCAGUGAUUUGAUAUAAAAAAAAGAUACAAAGAUAAAAAAAAGCUUAAAGGUAUGAUUUCUCUAUUGUAGGGUCCUGCUCCCUUGUACAGUGAUGGCCAUAAGACCCAUCAGUGUGUGGUGUGUUUCAAGAUAUUUCCCAAGAAGGAUAACCUAGUCAAGCAUCAGCGGACCCACACUGGGGAAAGGCCCUUCAGCUGUCCCUAUUGCGAUUUCCGAGGUUCGCAGACAUCUACAGUGAAAAGGCACAUUGACAGGAAGCAUACAGCUCAUGGGCAUUGGCAUAUGAUGGCUCCACGUUGAAUGAUGAUGUGCGAGGCAGUUAUAGGCGAAGCCAGUUUGGAAGUAGGUGUGGCAGUGGAGCGACGGGUGGCAUGGCUGGCGGCACCAGAGGGGCACAAGUUGAAGGUGGAACCCACCCAUGUGUGCUGUGCCAGAAGCGCUUCACCAGCCGCCAGGACCUGAGACGCCACGUCCGCACUCACACAGGAGAGAGGCCAUACCAGUGUCCGCUUUGCCCUCACCGUGCGGCGCUCAAGGGCAACAUCAAGAAGCACAUCAUAGCAGUCCACAGAGACAUAACCCCGACUGCAGCUGAGGCUGCAGCAGUUCUUGAGAAAGAAUCAUUCCAGGCAGCUGACAACAAUGCUGGUGCUGCUACCACCUCCAACACUGGUGUUGGUGUUGAGCUCUUACAGAACUGUUCUUACUCACCAGAGAGUUUCCCUAAUUGUUGAAAGAUAUGUGGAAGCUUUGUAGAAGAAUUUUUUUUGACAGAGAGAUAUUAAGUAAUUUCCAUAAUUGGUUAUAAUCCUCAUUACCAUCUUGAAUAUUAUUUAUGAAUUGAUAUAUGAGACAUUAUUUUUUUUAAGUGAUAUAUGUAAUUAUCCUUACUGGUAGGUCUUAGCUGUAUCUAUGAUAUAUUGAUUUAAGUUACAGUGUAAAAAAAACACCAGGCACACCUCAUAACCCAAAAGUAAAUGAAAAUGCAUUAGGGAUAUGAUAUACAAGGUUUGCCUGUAUAACAGUUCAGUACAAGCACUAUUACACAAGUAAACUUCCUGAAGAAGUA